rnacentral:tRNA from 2 species
GCGGACGUGGCGAAACUGGUAGACGCAAGAGACUUAAAAUCUCUCGGAGCAAUCUGUGCGGGUUCGAUCCCCGCCGUCCGCACCA